GAGAGGAGUGCCUUUAAACAAGGUAGGCCACCCAGCGGCACCUCUGCCUACCCUCGCGGCCGCCAUUUUGUUGGGCUUUCAGCCAUAGCUGCUGCCAUGCCAUAAAAGUGCGGGAAAGGAGAUGCUGAGGUGCAGCUGUUGGAGGGCUGGGUUGUUGUGGUGGUCCCUCAUCAGUGCCACCAGCUGUGAGCCUUUAGCAGGGACAUGAUGGGCUCAGCUGCCCUAGGCCUGCCUCAGCCUUUAUCAUGAGCAUCCAUGAGCCUCCUGGAUGAGAUUCUUCUGCAGUGCCUGAUCCUGUCCUGGAGGUGUGCUGGUUAGAUGGCAACAGAACUGCUGAUGAAAAGGACCUGAGUGAUGUGCAUCCUCCCCUGUUUGUAACUUCGUGCCAUGCUAGCCAGCAGAUUAUGCACUUCCAGCAAACUGAGGAAAAAUUGUAUCCUUGGUCUGGGAAGCUGAACCUUGCACGGACCACUGAUGGGAGGAGACUCUUCAGAAAGGGAAGAAGCUCAUAAGAAGUUGUUGAUUGUGUGUUGCAGUAGCAGCCUCAGGCAGUGCCUGCUCAGUGAUCUGAGUACAUCCGCUUUCCACCUCCUGCAAUGCCAACAACAUGACAUUCUCAGCUUCUGUUGUAGCACUUCUUGUUUCAUUUGUUCCCUCAUCCACACCUCUGAUCACUCACAGUCACCAGUGACCAUAAUGAUCUAUUAAAUUGAUGUACCUAAGAAUGAAAUGUGGAAGCCAAAUGUAUCAGUGGCAAUGUACAAC
rnacentral:lncRNA from 1 species